CCUACGGGAGGCAGCAGUGAGGAAUAUUGGUCAAUGGACGCAAGUCUGAACCAGCCAUGCCGCGUGCAGGAAGACGGCUCUAUGAGUUGUAAACUGCUUUUGUACGAGGGUAAACGCAGAUACGCGUAUCUGUCUGAAAGUAUCGUACGAAUAAGGAUCGGCUAACUCCGUGCCAGCAGCCGCGGUAAUACGGGGGAUUCAAGCGUUAUCGGGAGUUAUUGGGUUUAAAGGGUGCGUAGGCGGAAUGCCAAGUCAGCGGUAAAAUCGCGGGGCUCAACCUCGCUCCGCCGUUGAAACUGGGGUUCUUGAGUGGGCGAGAGGGAUGCGGAAUGCGUGGUGUAGCGGUGAAAUGCGUAGAUAUCGCGCAGAACUCUGAUUGCGAAGGCAG
rnacentral:rRNA from 1 species